CUACGGGAGGCACCAGUGGGGAAUAUUGCACAAUGGGCGCAAGCCUGAUGCAGCCAUGCCGCGUGUAUGAAGAAGGCCUUCGGGUUGUAAAGUACUUUCAGCGGGGAGGAAGGGAGUAAAGUUAAUACCUUUGCUCAUUGACGUUACCCGCAGAAGAAGCACCGGCUAACUCCGUGCCAGCAGCCGCGGUGAAUACGGAGGGUGCAAGCGUUAAUCGGAAUUACUGGGCGUAAAGCGCACGCAGGCGGUUUGUUAAGUCAGAUGUGAAAUCCCCGGGCUCAACCUGGGAACUGCAUCUGAGACUGGCAAGCUUGAGUCUCGUAGAGGGGGGUAGAAUUCCAGGUGUAGCGGUGAAAUGCGUAGAGAUCUGGAGGAAUACCGGUGGCGAAGGCGGCCCCCUGGACGAAGACUGACGCUCAGGUGCGAAAGCGUGGGGAGCAAACAGGAUUAGAUACCCUGGUAGUC
rnacentral:rRNA from 1 species